AAAACAUUUGGACCGUCGGACUACCGAGCAAUAUUACCCGCUCGGUGGAAGAUCUUUCGUCAU
rnacentral:pre_miRNA from 1 species